rnacentral:piRNA from 1 species
CUCAUUUGGACCAGAUGAUUGCGUUUUACAA